AGAGUUUGAUCCUGGCUCAGAUUGAACGCUGGCGGCAUGCUUUACACAUGCAAGUCGAACGGCAGCACGGGUGCUUGCACCUGGUGGCGAGUGGCGGACGGGUGAGUAAUACAUCGGAACGUAUCCAGAAGAGGGGGAUAACGCAUCGAAAGAUGUGCUAAUACCGCAUAUUCUCUGAGGAGGAAAGCAGGGGAUCGAAAGACCUUGCGCUUUGGGAGCGGCCGAUGUCUGAUUAGCUAGUUGGUGGGGUAAAGGCCUACCAAGGCGACGAUCAGUAGUUGGUCUGAGAGGACGACCAGCCACACUGGGACUGAGACACGGCCCAGACUCCUACGGGAGGCAGCAGUGGGGAAUUUUGGACAAUGGGCGCAAGCCUGAUCCAGCAAUGCCGCGUGAGUGAAGAAGGCCUUCGGGUUGUAAAGCUCUUUCAGUCGAGAAGAAAAAGCUGCAGUGAAUAACUGUAGUUCAUGA
rnacentral:rRNA from 1 species